AACGAACGCUGGCGGCAUGCCUAACACAUGCAAGUCGAACGAGACCUUCGGGUCUAGUGGCGCACGGGUUCGUAACGCGUGGGAACCUGCCCUUAGGUUCGGAAUAACUCCCCGAAAGGGGUGCUAAUACCGGAUCAUGUCUUCGGACCAAAGAUUUAUCGCCUUUGGAUGUGCCCGCGUUGGAUUAGCUAGUUGGUAGGGUAAAAGCCUACCAAGGCGACGAUCCAUAGCUGGUCUGAGAGGAUGAUCAGCCACACUGGGACUGAGACACGGCCCAGACUCCUACGGGAGGCAGCAGUGGGGAAUAUUGGACAAUGGGCGAAAGCCUGAUCCAGCAAUGCCGCGUGAGUGAUGAAGGCCUUAGGGUUGUAAAGCUCUUUUAACCGGGAUGAUAAUGACAGUACCGGGAGAAUAAGCUCCGGCUAACUCCGUG
rnacentral:rRNA from 1 species